CCUACGGGAGGCAGCAGUGGGGAAUUUUGGACAAUGGGCGAAAGCCUGAUCCAGCAAUGCCGCGUGAGUGAAGAAGGCCUUCGGGUUGUAAAGCUCUUUUGUCAGGGAAGAAACGGUGAGGGCUAAUAUCCCUUGCUAAUGACGGUACCUGAAGAAUAAGCACCGGCUAACUACGUGCCAGCAGCCGCGGUAAUACGUAGGGUGCAAGCGUUAAUCGGAAUUACUGGGCGUAAAGCGUGCGCAGGCGGUUUUGUAAGUCUGUCGUGAAAUCCCCGGGCUCAACCUGGGAAUUGCGAUGGAGACUGCAAGGCUAGAAUCUGGCAGAGGGGGGUAGAAUUCCACGUGUAGCAGUGAAAUGCGUAGAGAUGUGGAGGAACACCGAUGGCGAAGGCAGCCCCCUGGGUCAAGAUUGACGCUCAUGCACGAAAGCGUGGGGAGCAAACAGGAUUAGAUACCCUGGUAGUCCACGCCCUAAACGAUGUCUACUAGUUGUCGGGUUUUAAUUAACUUGGUAACGCAGCUAACGCGUGAAGUAGACCGCCUGGGGAGUACGGUCGCAAGNUUAAAACUCAAAUGAAUUGACGG
rnacentral:rRNA from 1 species